CUGCCCGCCCCCUCGGCGCUGCCGGGCGCAUACGGAUGCGGUGCCCCUCCCGGGCCGGGCUCGCAGCGCCUGGAGGGGCACUCGGGCGGGAGGGCUUCUAGGCCACGGCGCCAGGCCGUUCCCGAAGAGCUAGAGAAGGCGCACCCGGGAGCGCGAAGCGGCCCGCACGCCCCCCGCAGCCGGGCGAAGGGCGAGCGCACGGCAACGCUGGUUGCACCACAUGCUGCAGCCUCCUCUUCAGCAUGGCUCUCACCCAGGCCCUGCCCAAGGAAAGCCACUCAAUCACACUAGGUAAAACUAAGUCAGAUUUUUAUUAUUUUCCAUAGACCACAUCAUUUAAUAAUAAAAAAAAUAAAAAUAAAAAUUGAACAAAAGGAAAAGGUGGAUAUAAAGUGGAACCGGUGGGCAGGAGGCAUGGGCUGCAGGACCAAAGAGACUGGGAACUGCAGGGGCCCUGGGACUCAGGAGGAGAUGCUGAUUCAGCUCAUAGGUGACCCAGUCCUGGCCCCGGCUGUUCCCAAAAGGGGGGUGCAAGUACCAAAGGAGGUGGUGAGCAGGAUGGAGGAAAAACAAGAGAGAGGUUUGGGGCUCCUGGCUGUUCCCCACCUCUGGGCCAACCACCUCCCUCCCUAACAUAGCUCUUCCCUCUCACAGACUUAAUGGGAAAUGAGAGGGAGGAGAGGGCUAAGUCCCAAGAAACAGAUUACGGGUUAGGGUGGGAAGAUGCCCACUGCUCCAUUUGGUAUGUGGGGACAGGUGGCAGCCAGACUUCAGCACUGGGCAAAAGGUGUGAAAGACCCCUGGUUCCAGGGUGGUGGAGAUUGUACCUAUCCCUCUGUGGCCUUGAACCCCCCUGGGGCAGGGUGGCCGAUGCCUGCAGCUCUCCCUAGUGUUCUCCUGGCUAGCGGCGCCCACCCCGGUCCCGCACAGGCGUGCUCCGACUCCGGCUCCUGCUGUGGCGCUUGGUGUCCCUGCGGUCCCUCUCCCUGCCUCGUUCCCGGUCCCUGUCCCUCUCCCGAUCUCGAUCUCCCCUGUCCCGCUCCCUGUCCCUCUCCCUCUCCCUGUCCCUCUCCCGGCUGUGCUCUCGCCGCUUCUCUCGCUCCAGCUGUCGGGUCCGUUCCCGCUCCGCCUCCUUCUCCCGCUCCUUCUGCUCUUCUUCUUCUUGCUCCUUUCGCCGCUUCUCCCGCUCCUUGGCCCGUUCAGCCCGCUCUGCCUCCUUCUGAACAAUCUGUAGCAGGCAGGGAAGGCAGAGAACAGGAAUCUCAGCCCUGCUCACAUGAGUCUCACCUGGUCUCCCUGCACCUGGACCCUGCACUCUUAGCUCGGGACCACUGUCAGCCUUGCUGUUAUGCAGGAAGGGGGAGAGGGGGAGGGCCUCAGCAGUCACAUCUGUCCUUGUCUCAGAGCCCCAAGCCCUCCUCCCAGUCUUCAUCUUUUAUGCCCACGACAGGUAGUGGCACCAUCCAUGCCUGGCCUCUGGUAUUUCCUAAGCUAACUAGAUGUGAACAAAUCUCUAUUCUCUCUAGUGGAGUAGCAUAAGCCUACAAUUCCCAAAAGGCCCAUCACAAAGAAACGUAGAUUUAAAAAGCUAAAACCCCUAGAAAUUAGAAAGAGAAACGGCUGAGUUUAUUAAACACAGAUUUCUCAGCUAACUAAAAUCAACUUCCAAGAAGCACGGUUGGCACCGCCAGCUUCCUGGGACACACACAGAGUUCCCAUCUCGUGUCUACCUCUAUCCUUUUGGGUCUGGCUUCUCUAUGGCCCACUCAAUCAACUGGGUCUUAAAACUGCCUCUUUCUGUGAUGCUUAGCUUCUGCCUUAUUAUUCUAAGCCAAUACCUGGGCCUAUUCACUCUCGUAGUCACACGACUCUCCCCUUGCUCACUCCCAAGCCUUGAUGCAGCUUGGCAGGUGGUUCCUCCUGAGCUUGAGAGUGCCUCUCAAGGCAGGAAGGUGGGCGCUCACCUGGCUGUCAGUCAGUGGGAGCCAAUAGAUGCAGGGAGCUGCCUUGGUCUUACGGAAAAGGUCGUCCAGCAGCUUGGCAGGUGGUUCCUCCUGAGCUUUCUCUGAGGUGGAAGAAAGUGAGUCAGACUUGAUGCAUAUGACUGUGCCCCAUCCCAUCUGGGUCCCUUUCCCACCUACUAUUGAGUAUGUGUGCCCCCCAUAGCUAAGUACCUUUCUUCUCACUCUUCUUUUCUUUAGACUUUGCGCGUUCCUUGCGGCGGCGGUCACGGGACCGUGAUCGGGAACGGGGCCCUUCUCGAACUUUGUCCCGAUCCCAUUCACGCUCUGAUCGAGUUCGCUCCCGCCGCUCCAUCUCCCGUUCCCGCUCUGCCCACUGUUCCCGCACCGCCCGCUCCUGCUCCCGCUGCUCUGCCCUGGGGUGCUGUGGCGGCUGGGCUGGGGGCGGGGGCGGGGGGUGCAGCGGCCGUGGUACCCCCUGCUCCUCUGUCUUAGUUUCAGAGGGACGGUCCACCAAGAGGCCUCGGUGAUAAUCCAGCUGCGGGUAGAGGAGGGACAAGGACAGUCAGGAUGAAGAUGACAUCACUCCCACCAAAGGAGCCCAGGUGGGGGCAAGGCCACCUCUACUGAGACCUGGGGAGGUACAGGCGCUUCUGCUUCAGGCUCCUUCUCUUCUUCCUCCUCUUCCCUCUGCCCAUUCUCCUGGCCCUCGGAAGGCACCACCUGUAAGGUAUCAGAUAACAGAUGGAUUCUUUUUUUUAAAAAAAAAAUUUAUUUAUUUAUUAUUUAUUUAUUUGGCUGUCCCGGGUCUUAGUUGCGGCAUGUGGGAUCUAGUUCCCUGACCAGGGAUCAAACCCAGGCCCCCUGCACUGGGAGCGUGGAGUCCUAGCCACUGGACCACCAGGGAAGUCCCUACAGAGGGAUUCUUGAACACCAAACAGGUACAUUCUUUUCAGUUUCUGGUUUCUCGGGGAGAGACGGUGGGAAGUCAACCUAACAUGCUUCUUCCACUAGGGAGGAGAUUUCAUUAUUAGGUUCACCUCCACCAGAUCCUGGGAUUUGUAGUGCCCUCAACUCUGCCAUGAGGAAAACUAAGGCAGGAAUUGGCAAAUUUUUUCUGUAGAGGGCAAGAUAUUAAACAUUUUAGACUCUGUGAGCCAUACGGUUGCAAUUACUCAACUCUGAUAUUAUAGCACUUGAGCAGCCGGAGACAAGAGUAAAUGAACUGGGCUUCCCUGGUGGCGCAGUGGUUAAGAAUCCGCCUGCCAAUGCCGGGGACAUGGGUUCGAGCCCUGGUCUGGGGGAUCCCACACGCCGCGGAGUAACUAAGCCCGUGCGCCACAACUACUGAGCCUGCGCUCUAGAGCCCAUGAGACGCGACUACUGAGCCCAUGUGCCACAACUACUGAAGCCCGUGCGCCUAGAGCCCGUGCUCUGCAGCAAGAGAAGCCGCCGCAAUGAGAAGCCCGCGUACCGCAACGAAGACCCAACGCAGCCAAAAAUAAA